rnacentral:rRNA from 1 species
UACCAUGCAAGUCGAGCGGUAGAGAGAAGCUUGCUUCUCUUGAGAGCGGCGGACGGGUGAGUAAUGCCUAGGAAUCUGCCUGGUAGUGGGGGAUAACGUUCGGAAACGGACGCUAAUACCGCAUACGUCCUACGGGAGAAAGCAGGGGACCUUCGGGCCUUGCGCUAUCAGAUGAGCCUAGGUCGGAUUAGCUAGUUGGUGGGGUAAUGGCUCACCAAGGCGACGAUCCGUAACUGGUCUGAGAGGAUGAUCAGUCACACUGGAACUGAGACACGGUCCAGACUCCUACGGGAGGCAGCAGUGGGGAAUAUUGGACAAUGGGCGAAAGCCUGAUCCAGCCAUGCCGCGUGUGUGAAGAAGGUCUUCGGAUUGUAAAGCACUUUAAGUUGGGAGGAAGGGCAGUAAAUUAAUACUUUGCUGUUUUGACGUUACCGACAGAAUAAGCACCGGCUAACUCUGUGCCAGCAGCCGCGGUAAUACAGAGGGUGCAAGCGUUAAUCGGAAUUACUGGGCGUAAAGCGCGCGUAGGUGGUUAGUUAAGUUGGAUGUGAAAUCCCCGGGCUCAACCUGGGAACUGCAUUCAAAACUGACUGACUAGAGUAUGGUAGAGGGUGGUGGAAUUUCCUGUGUAGCGGUGAAAUGCGUAGAUAUAGGAAGGAACACCAGUGGCGAAGGCGACCACCUGGACUGAUACUGACACUGAGGUGCGAAAGCGUGGGGAGCAACAGGAUUAGAUACCCUGGUAGUCCACGCC